ACGGGGCCCGCACAAGCGGUGGAGCAUGUGUUUAAUUCGAAGCAACGCGAAGAACUUACCAGGUCUGACAUCUCCUGACAAUCCUAGAGAUAGGACGUUCCUUCGGGGACAGGAUGACAGGUGGUGCAUGGUUGUCGUCAGCUCGUGUCGUGAGAUGUUGGGUUAAGUCCCGCAACGAGCGCAACCCUUGAUCUUAGUUGCCAGCAUUAAGUUGGGCACUCUAAGGUGACUGCCGGUGACAAACCGGAGGAAGGUGGGGAUGACGUCAAAUCAUCAUGCCCCUUAUGACCUGGGCUACACACGUGCUACAAUGGAUGGUACAAAGGGCAGCAAAACCGCGAGGUCGAGCCAAUCCCAUAAAACCAUUCUCAGUUCGGAUUGUAGGCUGCAACUCGCCUACAUGAAGCUGGAAUCGCUAGUAAUCGCGGAUCAGCAUGCCGCGGUGAAUACGUUCCCGGGCCUUGUACACACCGCCCGUCACACCACGAGAGUUUGUAACA
rnacentral:rRNA from 1 species